rnacentral:rRNA from 1 species
UACGGGGGGAGCAAGCGUUGUUCGGAAUCACUGGGCGUAAAGGGAGUCUAGGCGGUUUGGUAAGUGGGAUGUGAAAUCCCCGGGCUCAACCCGGGAACUGCGUCCGAUACUGGAAGGCUUGAAUCCGGGAGAGGGAUGCGGAAUUCCAGGUGUAGCGGUGAAAUGCGUAGAUAUCUGGAGGAACACCGGUGGCGAAGGCGGCAUCCUGGACCGGCAUUGACGCUGAGGCGCGAAAGCCAGGGGAGCAAACGGG